GAUUAACACAGAGCGAACUUGGCAAAAUACAAUGCAUGCUUCUGUAGUACGAGUAGUACAGUAUCAUCGGUAACAAUUGUGUAUAAGCCACCUAGCUAAUAAAAUACUGGGGCUUGCGGUCAUUUGUUACAUUUCAACCACAGCGAUUCCCCAAUUAAGGCGCAACAGAGUUCACCGGCAAAUGCAGGAACAACGGAAAUAAUAACUAAACCAACGAAUGAGAAAUGGUGGAGGCUACCAGAACAAAGAGACAUUUUUUCAGAAUAAACGUGAAAACCGUUACAGAACCACCCCCCACAACAGGACCAAGCAGCGUGGCAACAGGCAGGAGCAGGAGAGGCAGCGAUGUCAGGAUUUCUGGACAUGGGAGCAGAAUCUGGGCUAUACAACUUGGGAAGAGAUAGACAGGUGUGCGGUCGACCCAGGGAGAGUGCCGGAGCCCGCCUGGGAUUCGCUGGAGCAGUGCGAGGAGUGUUACAGGAGAAUGAGGUUGGAGAAACGGUAGGAAGCCCGAGAGUCAGCCCCAAAAACGUCUUGGGGGGCGGCACACAGGGAGUAUAGCGAAGCCAGGUAGGAGACCUGCGCCAACUUCCUGUGCUUACCGGAGAGCGAGAGGGACCGGGCAGGCACCGUGUUAUGCUAUGGAGUGCACGGUGUCUCCAGUGCGGGUGCAUAGUCCGGUGCGGUACAUACCAGCUCCUCGUACCGGCCGGGCUAGAGUGUGCAUCGAGCCAGGUAAGGUUGGGCAGGCUCGGUGCUCAAGAGCUCCAGUGCACCUGCACGGUCCGGUCUAUCCAGUGCCACCUACACGCACCAGCCCUCCGGUGGCAGCCCCCCACACCAGGCUUCCUGUGCGUGUCCAGAGCCCAGUACUCCCUGUUUCUCCAUCCCGCACUCGCACCUCAGAGCGUGUCCUCGGCCCAGUACCACCAGUGCCGGCACCACGCACCAGGCCUACAGUGCGCCACAUCUGUCCAGAGCUGCUAGAGUCUCCCGUCUGUCCAGAGCUGCUAGAGUCUCCCAUCUGUCCAGAGCUGCUAGAGUCUCCCGUCUGUCCAGAGCUGCUAGUCUGUAAUGAGCCGCCAGAGCCGCCAGUCUGUCAUGAGCCGCCAGAGCUGCCAGUCAGCAUGGAGCCGCCAGUCAGCAUGGUGCCGCCAGAGCUGCCAUUCAGCCAGGAUCUGCCAGGAGCAGCCAGAGCCGCCAUUCAGCCAGGACUGGCCAGAGCCGUCAGUCAGCCAGAAGCUGCCUCUCAGCUACCCCUCGGUCCUGAGCUACCUCUCAUUCAUGAGCUGCCCCUCAGUCCUGAGCUGCCCCUCAGUCCGGAGGAGUUUGUUUAGUCCAGUGGGGCCCUUUAGUAGGGUUGCCAAUCCUAGGUCGGUGGCGAGGGUCGCCAAAGCGGACAAAGACUAUGGUGGAGUGGGGUCCACGUCCUGCGCCAGAGCCGCCACCGCGGACAGAUGCCCACCCAGACCCUCCCCUAUAGGUUCAGGUUUUGCGGCCGGAGUCCGCACCUUGGGGGGGGUACUGUCACGUUCUGUCCAUAGUUCUUUUGUGUUUUCUUUGUUUUAGUGUUGGUCAGGACGUGGGCAUUCUAUGUUGUAUGUCUAGUUUGUCUAUUUCUAUGUUUGGCCUGAUAUGGUUCUCAAUCAGAGGCAGGUGUUAGUCAUUGUCUCUGAUUGGGAACCAUAUUUAGGUAGCCUGUUUUGUGUUGGGUUUUGUCGGUGGUUAUCUUUGUCAUUGCACCAGAUAGGACUGUUUCGGUUUUCACAUUUGUUGUUUUGUAUUUUGUAGUGUUCUCGUUUAUCGUCUUUAUUAAAGAUGUUGAACACUAACCACGCUUCAUUUUGGUCCUCCUCUCCUUCAACGGAAGAAAACCGUUACACUCAGUAAUAUGUUUUGGAUUUGCCCCAAACAUAACACUUUGUAUUCAGGAAAAAAAGUGAAUUACUUUGCCACAUUUUUAUUGUUAUUACUUCAGUGCCUUGUUGCAAACAGGAUGCAUGUUUUGUUAUAUUUUAUUCUGUACAGUCUGCCUUCUGUUCACUAUGUCAAUUAGGUUUGUAUUGUGGAGUAAUUACAAUGUUGCUAAUCUAUGCUUAGUUUUCUCCUAUCACAAC
ensembl:lncRNA